rnacentral:piRNA from 1 species
UCCAUCACUGUUGCAGAUGCCAAUUGAGUCU